rnacentral:rRNA from 1 species
AUGGCACAACUAAUGAAAGGAGAUGAUGGACAGAUGAAGGGCUCCAUUGCAAACGCAUUGUUCGAUGAAUGGACAUCGCAGCAACAAUACAACACAACCGAUAAAGCCAUACUUCCCGUAGAAUUUGCAAACGUCGUGCUCGGUGUUAAAACUGGAGAGGAAAGUGGACUAGCAGAAUUCAAUGAGGAAGAAGCAUUGAAAGAGUUUACACCCCUUGUAACAGGCAAGGAACUUUUAAAGAAAAAGCUGAUUAUGAUACCUCACAACACAGAUAAACACUACACACUGUACGUGCUCAACAAGUACACGAACUCCAUCGACAUACUUGACUCACUGAAUUACAGACACGGAGAUGAAAAAAAAACAUGGAAAACACACCAUAAGGACCACAAAGAACUGAUUAAAAGGAAGCACGGACUCAUGAAGAAGCAUUACGGCGAAACGGAGCUACAAGCCAACAACGAACCAAACUGGUCGAGGAUAGCACAAACACCUAACAGAGUUUGCGUGCCAAAACAGUAG